rnacentral:rRNA from 1 species
GAUGAACGCUGGCGGCGUGCCUAAUACAUGCAAGUCGAGCGAACGGACGAGAAGCUUGCUUCUCUGAUGUUAACGGCGGACGGGUGAGUAACACGUGGAUAACCUACCUAUAAGACUGGGAUAACUUCGGGAAACCGGAGCUAAUACCGGAUAAUAUUUUGAACCGCAUGGUUCAAAAGUAAAAGACGGUCUUGCUGUCGCUUAUAGAUGGAUCCGCGCUGCAUUAGCUAGUUGGUAAUGUAACGGCUUACCAAGGCAACGAUGCAUAGCCGACCUGAGAGGGUGAUCGGCCACACUGGAACUGAGACACGGUCCAGACCCCUACGGGAGGCAGCAGUAGGGAAUCUUCCGCAAUGGGCGAAAGCCUGACGGAGCAACGCCGCGUGAGUGAUGAAGGUCUUCGGAUCGUAAAACUCUGUUAUUAGGGAAGAACAUAUGUGUAAGUAACUGUGCACAUCUUGACGGUACCUAAUCAGAAAGCCACGGCUAACUACGUG